AAAAGGAUGUUGUACAUGGGCAGAAAGGUGAAAAUUGUGGCCAGAGGCAGAUUGUGGUAAAUUACAAAAUUGGCUCAUAAUCCUUUAUUCCUUCUUGCCUCCAUGCUCUUUGCAAUGUGACUUUGCCACUUUUCUCAUUAAGAGAUGGAUUCUGUUCUCCAUUGCCUUCUGUCUGGACUGGUCUUGUAACUUGUUCUGGUUAAUACAGAGGUAAAUGUGAUGACACAUCAGAAGCCCAGGCCUCAAGCAAGCUUUCCCACUUGUUCUCUUGGAACCCUUCCCAGCUAUCAGCAUAAAGAUGUAUUAGGCGCAUUUAUACUUUUACAUCGAAGCCUGUUUCAACAUGAACGGAGCCCAGGGAAGUUGGUGACUUAAUCCUCGUUAUACCCUGAUUUUGGACAAAUUUUACAAGAAGAAUAGGACUUCUACUUCUCUAUGUCUACAUGCACCUGGAACAGUGCUAGGUCUAUGCUUACAAAUUGAUUGGUUCAGGUCACCGCCAUGAGCCUCAGGACAGAAAAUUGCCGGAUAUGAGAGAGAGAGAGAGAUUUGACUGGGCUAAGAAAGAAAUGAACACGAUUUAGAGAUGGAAAUGGUGACAUAUGGGCCUUUGAAGCCUCCCAUGUUCCAGAGAAGCCCCUGUGAGCUGUGACUGCAAGAGUCAGCACCUAAAUUAGAUCAACACUACAACAUCAAAAAGCCAGCUUGAUGGCACAGCGGGGAGUGAGGAAGACUCGGUGGACAAAUCUGACUGGAAAACAAGUAGGCGUUGCAGAUGACCUGGAACCAUGGUAGGAAGUGGGACAGGGAGCAUUUGGACAAGCUGUUCAAGAACUGAUCAUGCUCAUGUGUAUGGGAAAACAGAUGGAGGAAGAGAAAUUCCUGAAGAGCACAAGACUGGUGGGGCAAGGAACAAGCCUACUGAGAUGAGUUGCAGAUUUGAAGAUGGGAGAAAUGGUUUCGUUGUCUACCAUGUAAAAACUCAUUUAUGCAAGAUGCUUGAUAUCUGAAUUUCAAUUUCUUCAUUAUCAAAAUGAAUAUUAAAAAUACUCUACUUCUUAGAGUUGUCAAAAA
rnacentral:lncRNA from 1 species